AUAAGGUAUCGGUGGUAAGGAUGGAUCGGGAGGGUUUCCAUGCUCCCUUCCUCCUCGAAGCGCAGGAGCUCCCAUGGGACCGGUGUAGGAAUGACUCCUUUGUGUAGGUCUCCUUUCCCUUUGGGUCAGCAACGGCAGCAACGGUGGAGUUUCAAUGACCUGCGGCCGGAGGAUGUCCGUCUGGUUGUCGAAGCGAAGCCACGGUCCAUGUAGAUUCAGUGGCGCUGGUGUCUCCAAGGAGCAGUGUGCUUGAUCGUGCCCCAAGAUGCUGCAGUCGUAGCAGAAGGUCUUAAGGUAUUCAUACUUGAAGAAAACCCAGGUAGGCGUUCUAUUCUUUCUGUUGAUUCUUCGUCCAGGGCAUAGGGGGUUAUUGACUGGGACUUGAACCAAAGCUCUAGGUGUUAUAUACCAUUUCGAGAGGGACUGAGUAUCCUUCCAGUCGAUCUCGAGAACCUUGCUUGCCUUCUCAGCAAGUCUGACGAUGUUCGUCUUGGAGAGUAGCUCAGGGGGAAUGCCUCUAAUCUGUAUCCAAAAGGUAACAGUCUUGAACUUAAUUUCUUCUAGCAAUAAUCCAUUAUCCCAGCGGGCAAUCAUCAUGUGUGCUCCUUGGACCGACCAAGCUCGGUCCCUCUCAACGUGUGUCAUGUCCCUUUUGUCUCUGAAGAGACAGAUUAGAGUGUCAUCCGUGUACUUUUUGGGAGAUAUGGUGACUCCCUGUUUGAUGUUCCAUGCCUGCAGGAGUCUGGGAAUGACUGAUUUUGGUGGUAGUGGUUUAAAGCCAAAUGGUUUUAUGAGGAGAGUUAAGGGAAUUGAUUCCUGAGCUUCUGCUUCAUUUGUCUGGAGUUCAAGGAUUUCCUGGUUGUGGUUCAUGGACAUUUGGUUGCAUAAGAUAUCAGCUAGUGAAGCAUCCAGCAAGUUGAAAGCUUUGAUCUGUUGGAGCAUUGAGCAAAAGAGGGCCAGAAGAAAGAAGAAGAAGGGGAAGGGAAAGAGGAAGCUUCCAACUAAGAGUUAGAGAGAGAGAGUUCAAGUUCCUUUGUGUACUCUCUCUACUUGAGUGGUAGAGUUAUAUGGCCAUUAAUAUGUUACUCGCUCACUGUAAACAAAAUAUUGUAAACAUUAGUAACUAUUUAAUAAUAAUAAUAACUAUUUAAUAGUCGGAUGAUACUUCAGGGUUGACAAAA